AUGGCGCCCGCGCUGACGACCCUACAGGUCGCUGCCCCACACCAUCUCCGUCUUCCUCGCCGUCGCGCCUCCCAAUCCGGCGGCUCCUACCUCGCCCUGGAAGUCGCAAGGAACUCAAGCCGCCGCUGGCCCUCAUCCCCUUCUGCUAACGCAGUUCUGCCCAAGACCAUCAAGACUGGCAAGAACACCUUCGUAGAUUUGCCAAGUAACCACACCGGCAAGACUACAUGGACGUUCAAUCUACUACAACAUUAA
rnacentral:rRNA from 1 species